rnacentral:pre_miRNA from 1 species
AGACAGUCGCGCGCCCCAUCCUUUGCACUGCUUUCUUUCACUCAGUUUCAGCUGACACUGAGUGAAAGAAAGCAGUGCAAAGGGUGGGCGCGCGACUGUCU